AGGAAUGGGGUAUGCAUCAAGAUGACAUUUGUCGACCCUGAUAGAUAAGGAAAGGUUCUAUGCAGUUCAUGAGACUGAGUCCAAAAAUCCAUAGCCAUGGUAGGUGAAUGAUGAAAAAAAAUUUAUAAAAAUUCAAAUAGACUCGAGUUGAUUGAAUCUGACAUAUGAUGGAUGAAUGGAUUUGAUGAGCUAUCCUUAACCUGCAUC
rnacentral:lncRNA from 1 species